GAAAUACGGGACUCAAAAAUAAGCUUCUAACUUAAUUUUUAAGCGGUGCAUCUCCGUUUGUAUUUCU
rnacentral:tRNA from 1 species